CUUGAAGGUGUUGUCCAAGAUCUUGUUGAACAACUGAAUGAGCCAGUCACGGUUUACAGAGGAAAAGGGGAAUCUUUUUAUCUGUUUUUGUUUUUGGUAUGCGAUGGGGUGUGCCAUUGGCUCGUUUUGUGUACACACCCCUGGAAUGUGUUUUCUCAUUCACUUUGGAUCCCUUAGAAUGUGGUCUUACCCAGCCCUAUAGCUGGAGAAUUUCUCUCCAGCUCCUGCCAACCCCGCCAGUCCCGGAGCCCACUUAUAAAAUAAACACACAGACUCAUAUUAUUUAAACAGUUUGGCCUAAUGGCUCAGGCUUCUAGCUAUCUAGUUCUUUUAUCUUAAAUUAACCCAUUUUUAUUAAUCUAUAAGUUGCCAUGUGGCCCGUGGCUUACCAGUACCUUACAUCUUGCUCGUCAUGGCAGCAGCUGGCAGGUCUCUCUUCCCUUCCUGUUUCCUCAAUUCUCCUCUCUGUUAGUCCCACCUAUACUUCCUGUCUGGCCAUUGGCCAGUCAGUGUUUUAUUUAUAUAGAGCGAUAUCCACAGCACAGCUCCCUUCAGCCUAAUCCACGUGGCUUCUUCUGUCCUCAGCAUAAGCUCCUCCCCCUCCAAGUGCAUCCCCAUUUCUAACAUCCUAUGUUCUUCCUUCCUUCCUGCCUAGAAGAGAAGGCUAGAGAAGACGGAGGUUAUAUUCUCUUUUUCCCUGUGCAUCCUAGCCUAACGUAGUACUAGCUGCCACGUGAUACUAAUAUAACUCAAAUGCAGAAUGACUGAAUAAACGGAUGGAGGACGCUGAAUGAUUAUGAUAAUGUGAAGACCAAAGCAACUUUCCAGAUCUGAACGAUGGAGUGCUUUGAUGGACAUGGUGAGACCAAAGCCAUUAAAAAUUGCUGCAAUGUGGAGCGUGUGGCGGUGUUGGGAGGGGAGCAGGCGGGAAGUCAAGCAGACGAGAGGACGAUGAGCCGGAGCGGCUGUGUUCUAAGGUUGACAAAUGCGUUGGGUCACUACUGGGCUGUGGAUAGAGGAUUCCUCACGUCCCCAUGGCGCAGCCUCUGGUCCCCCCUGAGAAAAAGUAGUUUGUCCCCACGUAAGUUUAAUUGAAGGGGAAACCUUUCCACACGGUCUGCAGGUAUUCCCUACAGAGCCUGCUUGUGCUGCAGAAUUUAUUCAUUUGAUUCUAUCAUUUUGUGUGGUUUUUUUUAAAUCAUUAGAUAAUUAGAAGGACCAGGCCGUGAAGAUGCCUCAUGUUCUUUUACUGUCCAUCAGAUUUCUAAUGAGAAUAAAAGAUUUUUCUGCCUUCGGAGGGAAGGUCAUUUAGGUGCAAUGAUACACAGCUGUAACCUCAGCACUCAGGAGGAUUCUGAAUUCAAGGCCAAUCUGGACUACACAAUCAGACCUCAUCUCAGAGGGGAAAAAAAUGAAGCAAAGAAAGAAAAAAUAACUUUGAAAGCCACCCAAGAAGGGUGCCCAACUUUCAUCAUUGUUAUGUGUUUUGAACACAAAGGAACUAGCAGGACUGGAGCGGGGAAUCACUGAUUUGGCCAUAGUCAAAUAGUGAAGAGGGGAAUGAGAGCUUCCAGACCAGCCUUAUGCAGAGUGACGUGUGCCACAGUGAUUCUGAGACCGCUCGUGUUCACGGACUAAGACUGAGUCUGCCUAGGAUUGAAGCUCAGUUCUAGCUCUCGCCACUUGUUUGUUCUUGUGCCUUACCUGCCCUGCGGGUUUCUCCCUGAGAGAGACAGAGACAGAGACAGAGAGAGACAGAGAGAUGUAAAUGAGAGAAAUUUCAAAACAUUCACAAGCAUGCCCAUGAGCAGGUCAGAAGCUGUCCACAGACCUUAGGCUUAAGUCUUGCCAGCCUGGCAGACCUGCAAACCCAUUACCUCAGCCUUUCUAGUGCUGAAAUUACAAGAACUCCCGUGGCACUUGGACACUCAGAUUGGCCUGUCAGUGAGUCUGCAGGAUAUUUUCUUGGUUAAUGAUCAUUGUCAGAGGGCCCAGCUCACUGUGGACUGUGCCACCUCUGGGCAGGUGGUCCUGGGUGGUAUAAGAAAACAGGCUAAGGAAGUCAUGGAGGAAAACCUUGUAAGCGGCACCCCUCCAUGGUCUCUGCUUCAGUUCCUGCCUCUGGAUUCCUGCCUUGAGUUCCUGUUCUAACUUCCCCUCAGGCUGGACUGUUAUCUAAAACUGUAAAUUAAAACAAAUCCUUUUAAUUCAUCCUAGGCUGUUUUUAGUCAUGGUCUUUAUCAUAAAAGUAGAAAUCUAAGGAGCAAAUAUUUUAUGUUAUAGACAUUGGCUCCAGACAAAGUGACAGUCUUGCUGAGGAUUGUUAGUUAUUUUUCGGUGCUGUGCUCUUACCCUGCAAGGAAAUGUCACAAAACACAACAGAAUCCGCUAAUAAGAGUUUUAUUAAAGAUAAAAGGGACAGAGAGUGCUCAGGCCUGUAGGAAACAUGUAUGUGGAGAAGAAGGAAGAGCCGGAAGCAUGGCGCCGGCUUUUAAAGGCUGGGUGGUGUACAUGCGUACACAGGUCGAGGUAACCGUUCCACGUCUGCGCAGAUCACAUGGCUACGCUGAGUGCUCUUAUGUAACCAUGCAACAUCACGGAUCCUGGUCACAUGAGAUGCCUUGACCUGGAAAUGGCUGUCUUGACCUGGAACUGACUAGAUGGAAGUGUCCAGGUCCGCCAGGCAUCCUGGUCACGCGAGACGCCCUGACCUGGAACUGGCUAUCCUGACCUGGAACUGGCUAGGCGGAAGUGUUCACCAGGCAUAUGCAAACACGCCCGACCGUGGGGGCAUGUUGUGAACCCUUCAAGGAUGGCACCAGACUGUACAGGCAAAUAUUGAAGAACAUCACCUGAGCCUGUGGCUAUAGAGCAUCAACAAAUCAACAUUUUCUGCCUUGUAGAGGCUUUUCAUUUUGUAGGGAAAAUGUAAAAAAUUUUUUCUCUAAGCUUUUUGGCCUUCUCCAAAUGUUUCACAUUGGUCUUAAGAGACAACAGAACAGCUAAACUGUUUUAUUUCUAACUUUCAUGCUAAGGCAAAAGAGGCCUAAUUCAAUAGGUUAAAUGUGGGGUCUCUGAAUUAAACCUUAAUUCUGUAAUUCAGAAAAUUUCAUCAAGUGCUUGUACCGUUUCUGGAUUCACAGUCAGCCAUGGAUGCCAAAUUUAUAAAUGUUCAUGGCAAGAGAACGACGAGCCAGGAUGCACUGAGAAUUGUUUCCCACCGCGGUCUUGCUGGCUAAAGCAUAUCAUGUAUUAGUUAGCACUAAGGCAUACACAGAAAUGCUCUCAAGCACAAACUCUCCCCAGAAUGAACCGAGAAAAUACUGGCUUUGCUACACAUCUGCUAUUUCAGCUACAAGUGGUUAUACAUUUAAUUAAGACUGGCUUUAGCAAUGAAGAUAAUUUACAGUUUCACAAGACACGGGUUUUCCAAAAAACCAAAUUAUGUUAAUUCUUCAAACUUCUUAGAAACCAUGUGACCAAAUUAUCCCAGGCACACAUUUCAACUGCCUGGAUGGAAGAAUUUGAUAAGAAUGGAUGUAUUUGAAUGAUUUUUGAAAAAUUUAAGGACAAAUUUUCCUACCUAUUUGUGAUUUCUAUAACUGAGCUCAAUUAUAUAUUCAGUAAAAAGCUAACUCUUUUGGGGACAAUGUCUAUUGUAAUUUUUAAAAAAUAUUUUGAUCAAGAGAUUCGUUAUGUGUCAAAAUGAUAAUAAAGAAAUUUCAAGAUUGAAGUAA